UCAAACAAUUAUUAGUAAUCUAGCGGUGCAAUCCAAUUUGUGUUCGAAACGCGCUGAAAACAUUUCAACUCCAAAACGCAUCGUUUCGUCUCUUCAAACCAAAUCUCGAAGAAACAGAGUCUCUGUUCUAUCUUCGUCUUCAUCACCAUUUUCUCCAACAAAAAAAAAAAAGAGACAAUCUCAUCGUUCGUUAAUCCCAAUCCAUUUUUCCAAACUUUCUAAAUCAAAUAUCAUCGUAAAAUUAAUCUCCGUAGAAAAUGAAAUAAUUUUUUUUUUUUUUGGGAUUUUGGGUUCGAAGAAAGUGGUGAUUUUUGGUUUUGGGUUUGAAGAAAGUUUUGAUUUUUGGUUUUGGGUUUGGAAAAAGUUGUGA